rnacentral:rRNA from 1 species
GACGAACGCUGGCGGCGUGCUUAACACAUGCAAGUCGAGCGGUAAGGCCCCUUCGGGGGUACACGAGCGGCGAACGGGUGAGUAACACGUGGGUGACCUGCCCUCAGCUCUGGGAUAAGCCUGGGAAACUGGGUCUAAUACCGGAUAUGACUCCAUGACGCAUGUCGUGGGGUGGAAAGCCUUGUGCGGCUGGGGAUGGGCCCGCGGCCUAUCAGCUUGUUGGUGGGGUGANGGCCUACCAAGGCGACGACGGGUAGCCGGCCUGAGAGGGCGACCGGCCACACUGGGACUGAGACACGGCCCAGACUCCUACGGGAGGCAGCAGUGGGGAAUCUUGCGCAAUGGGCGAAAGCCUGACGCAGCGACGCCGCGCGAGGGAUGACGGCCU